AUUGGUUUGUUCCGGUGAAAAACGGAUUUAAUCCGGGUUACUGACCAGCAUUCGAUGGAAUCGGCCAUCAAGCGGAUGCCGGAACAGUUUCAGUUUCGCUAAUCCGAUUCCCGAUCGAUGACCGCUGAUGGCCCGGCGCCUCCGUACCGCCGUUACGCGCUCCUCCCUGAACCAUCUCGGAAGUGGAAGCGCUGGAAGCCGUGGCAGGGAGGAUUAGGUUGGACCGCGAACCCGUGACAGCGGCUCUUGCUGCCGUUUCCAGACCAGCUUCUUGGGAACCAUGUUUCGGAUCAACAAUGGAGUGCCAAAAAGCUCCGGAUGUCAACGACUGAGAUGGUCCGUCCGUCAUUCUGGCCAAGUGUGUGAAGAACCAGUGCAAACAGACGUUAUA